GCUAGGCAACUCCAGAGUAGCAACCACCAGCCCUCAACAGGCUGGAACCCGGUUGGUUGCCCACGGCCUGGCAUUCCUGAGAAGAGGGUCAGGCAGCUACCCUGGCCCCCAGAACGAGCCGGACAAGGGCACUGCUUCUAACUGUACGCUGAUCGGCGGUGGAGGGCAACGCUACACAUCCGUCUCCACAGUGCCAGCCACUGCUCUCCUGGACGCCUAUGCCAAAGAAAUGGAAACCUGUAAUCACAGGAAACCUGCGCGCCAGUGUUCAUGCAUGUUAUUGGUAGAUGCCUAAAACCGGGAACACGCAGCACACUUUUCAGUGGGUGAGUGCUUGAGCGAACACUGGUUGACCCGCCACAAGGACGAUCGCCAGCCAUGCAGAGGAAGAACGUGGAUACAUGCGACAGCUUGGAGGGACCUCAAGGGCAUCAUGUGCUCUGUACCCAGCCAGAGUCCCUGCUUCCUGGAACCUGGGAUCUAUGACCUCUCCCCAGGAGAAGCCACCACGGAGUAUACAGGCUCCAAGAGAUUGUGGGGUCUCUAUCAGGUGGCCCGGAUCCAGUCAAGACUUCCCCCACCAUCCUGAGAAUGCCUGGCCCUCCAGAUGGCGAGGGACAGUGAGUGUAUUGGGUCCCCAGGGGCCUGAUGAGGGAAAAGGAGGGCGGUGACCCCAUUGGGAUGGCAAAAGGCAAGAUCACUCUGAUUCUGCCCUAGCCUGAGAGUGCCCUUGCUCCAAGCUCAUGGGACCUUCCAUUCUCCCCAGAAUGGACCCACCACACGCACUCCCAUACACUCUCCUUGCUGGGCCCACUGUGUUCCAGGCCCUCCUGAGUGUAUCUGGAUGGGUUUCUGCAAAGCAUAGACUACAUGCAUGUGUGCACACACGCACGCGCGCACACACACACACACACACACACACACAUGCAGGAGCCCAGUAUCCAGGGAGAGGUGGACAAAGUUGAGGCCAGUUGCUUGGGAGUGUGCACGCUUCUGAAGGUGAGGACUGCAGGAAGUAACAAUCUUCCCUGUGGCAAUUGACAGUGGUGGACUUGGGCGGGGAAACCUGCUAAUGCAUGCCUGUUCUCCAGGACAGCUGCAGUUGCAGCCAUCAACUGUGCCCCCCUACCACAAGCCUAGGGAGGUUAAGGUGAGCCCUGCAGAGAGGGCUGGUAGGUGUCACGCUGGAGGGUGCAGGAGCAUGAGACCGCCUGGAUGGCUUGUUUAAACCAGGGUCGGGGGCCCGCCCCAGGUCACUGAUCUUGCAGAUCUGAGGUGGGGCCUGAGAACAGGGGACUCUCACAAUCUCCUGUGGUGCCGAUGAUUCUGGCCCAAGGACCCCUUCUUGGGGAAGCCCCUCUUUAAAGACCUGGAGCUCUCCUAGGGGUGUGUCCCCUGCCCUGCUUGGGGCUGGCUCCCUCGCAGGGUCCCCGCAGCUGUGAGGAAUGCUGGGAGGGUGCUAGCCCUGGAGAGAGCAGGGGCUUCCUGUUUAGCAGUAGUGACCCAGCCCCGCCCAGGCCCUCGGGAGGGCCCUGUCCACAACCCAGCCUGGGAAAGGUGUUGGGUUCUGUGCAGGUGCUCAGCAGUUCCCAGGCUGCAUCUGGUAACAUCUGGGCAUGUGGGGGAGAGAGGGGCAGAGGUCAGAGUUGUGCCUGGCCCUGGGGACGGAGAGAACUCUCCAAUGAGGCAGAGGAAAGACCCAAACCGAGUUCGGGGAUGGGAAAGGGCCCAGAACAUGGGCCCCGAGGGCAGGAGCAUAGGCUUGGGGGCCAGAAAGCCGUUUUCUGCCUGGGACGACCCUGACAACGGUCAGGUCUGUGGGCACAGCCCACCCUCUAGCUGGUGUGAGGCCUCUACCCUUCCCGCCUAACAUCCCUCACCAAGAGGGUCUCCCAGCUCCUGGGUGUCACUGCCCAGCAACACCACCCACCUUCCUUGGCCAGUCUUUGUAGCGGUCAGUGGUCGGCCUGUGCUCAGCUCCACGGUGGCCUGUUGUCCAGUUGGAGCAGCAGGUGAAGUUCAUCGCCAGUCACUGGCCACCACCGGUUGUCCCUGGGAUCCCAGCACCUGAGCCUAUUCUGGCUCUGGGGACAGACGGUGGAGUAACCUUUGGCUUUCGUUUGCCACCUUUCCCCUCCCUGACCCGUUUUCCUUUGGGGUCACCAGGCUGUUCCCUGUGCACGGGUUCCAGCCCUCGCUACCUUGAUGAUGGAGCCCUGAGUCACAUCUUGUCAAUAUUUUUUCCCCACUUUGUCCCUUGUCCCUGGACUUUGUGGUUUGGGGUUUGCGUUUGGUCAGGCAGAUGAAUUUGGUUUCCGUGUCAUCAGACCUUCCAGGCUUUUCCUAAUGGCUUCUGGGGUUUCUUGUCAGUUUGCUUCAGACCUAGAGCGUUCUGCUGUUUAAAAGAUGUUAUUUAUUUAUUUUUUAGACAGAGGGGAAGGGAGGGAGAAAAGAGGGAGGCAAACAUCAAUGUGUGGUUGCCUCUUGCGUGCCCCCACCAGGGACGUGGCCCACACAACUCUGCAGGCAUGUGCCCUGACUGGGAAUCAAACCUGUGACCCUUUGCUUCGCAGGCCGGCGCUCAAUCCACUGAGCCACACCAGCCAGGCCUAGAGCCUUCUUCUUUUCUUUCUUUCUUUCUUUCUUUCUUUCCUUACUUACUUAUGAAACCCUCACCUGAAGAUAUGUUUAUUGAUUUUUUAAAAGAUUUUAUUUCUUUUACUUUUAAAGAGAGGAGAGGUGAGGGAGAAAGAGAGGGGGAGAAACAUCGAUGUGAGAGAGCUACAUCAAUCAGUUGCCUCUCGCAUGACCCAACUGGGGACGUGGCCUGCAACCCAGGCAUGUGUUUUGACUGGGAAUCGAACUGGCAACCUUUCAGUUCUCAGGCUGACACUGAAUCCGCUGAGCUACACCAGCCAGGGCUGUUUGUUAGAGAGACAGAGAGAGAGGGAAUUAGAGAGCGAGAGAGAAACUUUGAUUGCUGUUCCAGACAUGCAGGCACCCACUGGGUGAAACCCGCAUGUGCUACUACUGGGGACUGAACCCGCAACCUUGGUGAGUCGGCACGACGCUCCAACCGACUGCGCCUCCUGGCCAGGGCCCGUUCUCCACUUAACUUGUGUGUUCGUUCCCUGUUGCUGCAUAACAACCUGCCCCGAACGUAGAGCCCUGGUGUGACUGACACUUGGGACCUCCCAGGGCAGCUCCAGGGCUUGGCUCGGAGUUCUGGCUCGGGAUCUUGCACAGGCUGCAGUCCAGGCAUCAGCUGGGCUGCAGCCCUCUGGCCUACCUAGUGGGGGAGCUCUGCCUCCAAGUUCACUCACGUGGACGUGGCAGGGGGCUCAGUGCCCCCGCCCCACGGGCCUGUCUGCAGGGUGCUCAGGGCAGGGCUCUCCCAGAGCCAGGGGAGAGGGUGAGCAGCCCCCAAAUGGAAGCCAGGCCCUGUAGGACUUUAUCUCUCAGCAACAUUUCCUCACCUCUGCCCUGUGUCUAGGGGACACACAGGAGAACCCUGAACUAUGCUGGGGGAACGACGACACCCGCUAGGGUGAGGGGUGUUCCGUUCACGGCAAAUGACAAGGCUCCCAGGAGUGUCCCCGCUGCUGCAUCUGGGUGUCCAGGAGCGAGGACUCCUGGUGCCACACAGAACAGGCCCCUCAGGAACAGGUCCCUUGUCACUGUGGGGUGGCGAGGUCUAGCCCCGGCAGCAAGACAGGCAGGACCAGUGUUUGUCAGGGCAGAGUGGCUCUUUGCCUUUAAAGCGCUGUAACCAAAUCCCACAAGAAGCCAGAGGAGAGAAGGAUGUGCGUCAGAGCCCCCAUGUGCCCACGGCGUGUACUCUCUGCCCUUUGCAGAGGAGUCUGCAGCCCUGGUGGCAGCCCCAGGCCCAGGGGCAGGAAGCUCUUUCUCUUCAAAGCAGCUCUUGCCAGCGCCCUGUCAGUCCCCACCCAGCAGCUCAGUCUUGCCCUGACACCUUUUUCCCCAGGGACUCGGGCAGCUGCCCUGCCUGAGGCAGGGCUGACCUCUCCCUGCACACAGGCACCUCCUCUCCCCUGCCCUCCCCUCCAGCCUUCCACCCUGCAGCCUGGAAGUGUGGGGGCAGGAAACAGUGAGGUGCAGCCACAUUAUGGAGCUGCAAGCUGCCUAGCCCCUUUUCUGCAAUGGGGGUAUCAGGUAGCCCUGGGCUCGGUCCUGGCAGCUGGGUGUGGUGGUGGCAGGCGCCAGCCUGGCAGUGGGGGCAGCCGAGUGUCCCCUUGUUCAGGAAGGAGCUCCCACUGUGGCUGAAGGAGGCCCUUUGCAUGUCGUUGCCCUGGAAACACACCUGCCCUUCCCUGCCUGGGGCUCAGAGGUGACUUCCCCGAUGACGCGCUUGGUGGCUCUGAAUUUGCCACACAGUUUCUGUGGGCAGUGAGGGUUUUCUUGUUGGCUCUUGCUGCUGGGCAACACAGGCCCUUGGCAACAGCUCCUGGCACCGUCCGGGGCUGCUGUGUGUUUCUUGAACCCAAACACAGCGAGUUUCAGGGGAGCGGAAGCAGAGAACAAGGUGAUGCUCUCUGGCCUUGCCUCAGGGAUGCUGGUCCUGACUCCUGGGGACAAUAGCCAGGCUGUUGCGACACAAGGUCCUGGGGGUCCCGUAGAGAUGCUGAGGCCUGCGUGGCCCCACGCCACAGGGCUGGGCCAUCUGACUACUGACCGCACCGUCCCGCAGCCCAUGCCUGAGCUGAGCCCCACCUUCCUGACCCUCGGCCCUGGGCAGGAGGGACAGUGAGGGGGCCCAUGUUCCCUGCAGUCUUCCCUGGGGGGGUGGGGGGGCGCGCGCCUGCCCACAAAGGCCGUGGAGGGCUGGACGGGCACUGGGUCCUCCCUCAGCCAGCUUUCCAUGGCAUCCUGCCCUGGGGGAGCUGGUCCUGGUGGCCUGCUCUGAGCAUGGGCACAGUCACAGCACGGGCCAGACUCUGUCCCCACCCACUAUCAGUGACCAUCUGUGGCUUUCACCCUCUGCCUGAGGACCUGGCUCCACUCCCAGGGGGCACGGGCUGUCAGUGCCACGCCUGUCUUUGGCAGCUGUGCUGACCCACAGGCAACCUCUACCCCGCCCCCUGCUCGGCGACUUCCUCAGCCCUGCUCCUCUGGCAGCGGCCUGUCUGGGCUCAGGGGGACCUGCUGUGACAGCUGUGGUGGGUCACGGAGGUGGCUGAAACCAGCCUGACCUCAAGUGGCACAGUGUCCUCUUGUCAGGGAAUGCCCUCCCUGGAGAAGCCUGGGGCCUGAGGAGCAGCCUGCUGUACGUGACAGUCCCUGCCCUGUCGGGGACCUGUGUGCAGCUGGGAUGGGCCCGGGGCCCUGCAGUGGGAUGAGACCGUCCUGAGCCGUCCAUCUCCAAGUGCACGUGAUGGCCCGGGGCCAGCACCCAGCACCCUGCAUGCUCACUGACCCCGACUUGGCGGUUACCCCUCCUCGGCCCACUGGCUCCAUUGAGGUUCCCGGAAGCUGCCCCAGAGCACCCUGGCCCCGUGCCUGGAGUGGGUGAGGGUGCCUGUGCUGCGGGGGGGGGGGGGGGGGCGGGGCCAGACCAGUGUUGCCCUUGUUGACAUGCUGGUACUCCCUCACUGUCAGGAAGAGGGCGGUGGCCCAGCCCUGGGGGUCUACCACUCCUCCUUCCCCACCUGGGUCCCUCCAAGCCUGCUGGGGAGACGGGCAGCAGGGAGGGUCAGGGGCAGAAGGGUGGCUGGGGCAGGGGUGGAGGCUGGCCUUGUGGUGAGAGUGGCCAGCUCAACCCUCCCCCUGCUGCUGUGGGAGGCUUCCAACAGGCUGACCAGCCAUCUUCUCCCCUGACUUCAUAGUGAGGUGGGUGAGCGGGGGGAGGGCACGUGGCAGGGACCUCUCCUCCACUCCUGGCACCUAUUGGUGAGCAGGGCUUGGGCAUGGGGACUGGUGGCCUGGGCAGCUGCCUGGGCCUGAUGUGGCCUCUGGGGAGGGGACAGGGACUCCUGGUUAGCUCGGCUCAGCUCUGGGGCCAUCUCCAAGGGAGCCCCACCAGGCAGGCAUUUGGGAGAGUAAGGGAGGCAGGACUGUCUCCUCUCAGAGGGGCCUGCCCAGGGAGGGGCAGGAGGCUCUGGUGGCUCAGGGGAGGGAGGUGCGCUCCUUGCGUGCAGCAUCCUGGGUGCCCACUGGGCCGAGGGGAGGAGGGGUGCCUUGGGGAUCUCUAUCUGCCCACUGGUGCCGACCUCUCUGGGCCUGGGCCUAGCUCUGCCUGCUCCUGCCCCUUCUCCAGCUGGGUAGCUUGCAGAAGCCUCAGAGUCCACCCGCCUCUGUCCACUGCCGGCCUUUGAUGACAGUGGGAGGGAGAAGUGGUGGACCAGGGAGUUUUAUUCAGCUGUGUCCUGAGCCCCUGGGGUGGACUGCAGACUGGCCAUCCGGAGCCGAGGACAGCGGUCCAGCCCCAGGUGCAGUAACGCAAGGUCCCAGUACCACUUUCCAGUUCUGUUAAGUUUCUCCGAGGCCCAGGUAGUCCAGCCUCUUGGAGCCACAGGAUGUGUGUCCCUCGGGCUGUCCUCUUGGAGGCUGCCUGCUUGGUGCCAGGAUCUACCUGGCUCAGGAGGUACUGUCCAGAGCUCAACAGUGGCUGUUGUGCAGCGUGGUGGUCAAGGCAGGGACACCCGUGGGCCUGCCCAGUGCUGUCUGCUGCUCCCCCUGGCCCUGUCCAGGGGGCUGAUUUCAUGGGGGAGGUCAGGAGUGGGAUUUCUGAGCUCCGCCCUUUGUCCCAGCAGCAGGGCACUCCUCUCUGUACCCCCCACCCCCAGGGUGCAUCUCAGCUCCCCCCACGGCCACCCACAGUGCUGUGUCCAGCACCCCAACAGGACCUGUUGGGUCCAUGGAAGCAGAGCCAUGACCUGUUAACCUGCAAGCAGCUGUUGCCCCCGCUGUGUCCCCAGCACCCCUGGAGCCCUUGGCAGGGAAGCAGGGAGUGGAUGUUGACCUGCGUCCUGGGGAGUAGGAGUGCUGGAGCCCUCAGUCGCUGUGUGUGGGGGACCUCAGAGCUCUAGGGGCCUUCUGGGAGGGUGGUUCCCUUGGAGUUCUCAAGGACGGGGAGUAGGCCCAGAGCCCUGGAAAACGCUAGGUGGAGACCUUCAAGCCUGGGGUUCCCUUGGGGGCUCAGGGAGCCCUCAAAAACCUUUGGGUUGGGGUGCCCAGGGCACUAGGGAGCACUCAGGUGCCCUUGUGGGGCUCCGGAGCUCUGGGGGUUGGGUAUGAAGCAUGGGGAUGGGGGUACCCAGAGCCCUUGGGAUCGCUGGAGGGGUACAAGAGCAUUCAGGGUCCCACGAAGCCCUGAGUAGUGACGCCAGGCCUGCGGGGAUGUCCUAGGGGAGAUCCAGACACCUCAGGAGCUGUGGGGACUCCUGGGGAUGGGCGUGUCCUCAGAGAUUUGGGGCAGGGGGCUGAAAGCCCCUUGGCUGGGAGCCCCCAGCAAUCCUCCAUCUGGCACACGGUGAUGAAUGGAUGUGGUUGCCCUUGGGGAUGAAUGAAUGAAAAGGGGGUGACUACAUCACAAGAGUAUUGUCUGUUUUCUUAUGCAGACGUCACAGUGGCUGCCAACCACACUUAUCUAGCCUCCCCCUUUUUCCUGAAACAGGUGGAGGACCAGAGACUUAGGGAAACCCAUCUACCUAGAAGUCGUGGCAUCUCUCUUCCCUUCCUUGGGAUGCCCCGAGCCCACGCCCCUUCCUCUCAUGCUGUCCCUUUUCUCCACCCCAGCUACUCCAGGGCUUUGGCAUGUCAAACCUUGCCACUUCCCCAGGCCCCACCUGGGGUUCGCUAGGCUCUACCUGCCUCUCCAGUGCAACAGCAAUCCCCGAGCAGUGCUCGGGACGGGGGCGGGGCUGUCCCUCCUAACAUACUUGAUUUGGGAUCAGUUGCUGAAACAAGCUGUGUCACUGUGCCCCUCUGGGGUCCUGGUUCAGCCUACUUGUUCUGCCCCUCCCCCCAUACAUGCUCACUGACCUGAGUAUCAGUGACAAGGCAGCAUUCCCUGACCCUGCCCACCCCCCGUGGAGCAUGUCGGUCUCAGCCCUCGCACUAGGAUGGCGAGGGGCAGAGUCUGGAGGUCUGGGGAGUCCAUUGCCACAGGUGGCAGCAGCUUGCAGCAAACAAAGGAGGCUGUGGCUGUGGGAGUGGUGAGAAAAAUAAAAGCAAUUCACUUCUUUCAUUUCUUUGUACACUUUAAAUGCACAAAAAGCACGUUACUUUCAGGAAAAUGUACAACAUAUGUGUGGCGACACUAGGACGCAGCAAGGAGAAAUUACCAGGAUCUGUGUGUACGGAGGUUCCAGACCCAGCCCUCAACUGAGCUGACCGUGUGGCCACAGACAGCGGCGUCUCCAAGGCUCAGCAGCCCAUGCUGCUGCUGUGUGGGCACUGUGCCAGACGGGAAGCUGGGGCCUACGGAGUCCCACCACCUGUAGCAAGGAGCCAGUCAGAGGUGAGAUGGAUUGAUGCCAGAGUGCCACCUGUCCAGGAAUUCCAGGCCUUACCUGUGCUUGCCAUCUGCCUGAUCAGAGCAGAUGACGGCUCCUCGGUUUUCCCAACCUUUGCUGGCAGCAUACCAAGAGAAUGCACAGCCUCACAUCGCAUUCUACCCUGUCUCUCCUUAGCAUGUACUUUUAAACACAUAUGUAGAAUUUGAAGACUAUGAAAUACCCACGACAGAAAAACUGGAGGUAAUAUAGUCAGCUAAAGAACUGAAUUACCCAGAUGAUGGGGUAUUUCGGAGUCCUGGGAGCCUUCCCCAUGUCUUUAAACAAGCAGUUUUCCAGAAGGCCCACUGAGCACAGCUGCCCUUAGACAGUUUGGCAUCAGCUCUUCCUGGCUAAAACAUCCACAGGCAGCAUUGCGCAUGCAGCCUCACCUGCAUUUCCAACGGGGGCUUUCCACACCCUGUGGUUCUGCAGUAAUUUUCGUAAGUAGUUAUAAGAAGUCUGGGAGUGGACCCCACAAGCAAAGCACAAACGUAUCUGUGGGUAGAAUAUGAUCCAUACCCCAAGCCCAAAGCAGAAAGGGAGAACCAAUAAAGCCAGGUGGUAACCCUGGAGACCCAUGGUGGAGGCCCCAAUCAGAGGACCCCAACCCUUCUCCAAGCAGGAAGAGCCAACUCAUUAAAAAUAAAUGGUCUUUUUAUUGUGUGUCCAGGAAAACAAGAAUCAGGGUGGCCUUUGGUUAAUCCCCACAACAAGAUGACAAGAACAGGAGGCAUGCAAUGACAAUAACUAUGUUCUCCUCUCCAGAAGGGUCUUGCCCCUCCUGGGUGGUCCUAAGGAUCAGAGGCAAGCAGGGUCAGGAGACUCCAGAGGAAGGCCCACCCAGGCCCAUGAUGCUAUGGAGGGCCUGGGUCUGCUGCCUCCCUGGCAGGACAAGGCAGGGGGAGCAAGCACUACCCCAGGCCAGGCCCAGCACCCCUAAGCUAGAACACAGAAAAA